AUUGAACGCUGGCGGCAUGCCUUACACAUGCAAGUCGAACGGCAGCAUGAUCUAGCUUGCUAGAUUGAUGGCGAGUGGCGAACGGGUGAGUAAUACAUCGGAACGUGCCCUGUAGUGGGGGAUAACUAGUCGAAAGAUUAGCUAAUACCGCAUACGACCUGAGGGUGAAAGUGGGGGACCGCAAGGCCUCAUGCUAUAGGAGCGGCCGAUGUCUGAUUAGCUAGUUGGUGAGGUAAAGGCUCACCAAGGCGACGAUCAGUAGCUGGUCUGAGAGGACGAUCAGCCACACUGGGACUGGGACACGGCCCAGACUCCUACGGGAGGCAGCAGUGGGGAAUUUUGGACAAUGGGCGAAAGCCUGAUCCAGCAAUGCCGCGUGUGUGAAGAAGGCCUUCGGGUUGUAAAGCACUUUUGUCCGGAAAGAAAUGGCUCUGGUUAAUACCUGGGGUCGAUGACGGUACCGGAAGAAUAAGGACCGGCUAACUACGUG
rnacentral:rRNA from 1 species